rnacentral:rRNA from 1 species
AUUGAACGCUGGCGGCAGGCCUAACACAUGCAAGUCGAACGAGUGGCGGACGGGUGAGUAAUGUCUGGGAAACUGCCCGAUGGAGGGGGAUAACUACUGGAAACGGUAGCUAAUACCGCAUACCAUCGGAUGUGCCCAUAUGGGAUUAGCUAGUAGGUGGGGUAAAGGCUCACCUAGGCGACGAUCCCUAGCUGGUCUGAGAGGAUGACCAGCCACACUGGAACUGAGACACGGUCCAGACGCCGACGUGAGGCAGCAGUGGGGAAUAUGGCACAAUGGGCGCAAGCCUGAUACAGCCAUGCCGCGUGUAUGAAGAAGGCCUUCGGGUUGUAAAGUACUUUCAGCGGGGAGGCGUUACCCGCAGAAGAAGCACCGGCUAACUCCGUGCCAGCAGCCGCGGUAAUUC